rnacentral:rRNA from 1 species
UGAGGAAUAUUGGUCAAUGGGCGCGAGCCUGAACCAGCCAAGUAGCGUGCAGGAUGACGGCCCUAUGGGUUGUAAACUGCUUUUGUAUGGGGAUAAAGUCAAUCACGUGUGAUUGUUUGCAGGUACCAUACGAAUAAGGACCGGCUAAUUCCGUGCCAGCAGCCGCGGUGAUACGGAAGGUCCGGGCGUUAUCCGGAUUUAUUGGGUUUAAAGGGAGCGUAGGCUGGAGAUUAAGUGUGUUGUGAAAUGUAGACGCUCAACGUCUGACUUGCAGCGCAUACUGGUUUCCUUGAGUACGCACAACGUUGGCGGAAUUCGUCGUGUAGCGGUGAAAUGCUUAGAUAUGACGAAGAACUCCGAUUGCGAAGGCAGCUGACGGGAGCGCAACUGACGCUGAAGCUCGAAGGUGCGGGUAUCGAACAGGAUUAGAUACCCUGGUAGUCCGCACAGUAAACGAUGGAUGCCCGCUGUUGGUACGUGGUAUCAGCGGCUAAGCGAAAGCAUUAAGCAUCCCACCUGGGGAGUACGCCGGCAACGGUG